rnacentral:rRNA from 1 species
GACGUAGGGCGAGAGCGUUGUCCGGAUUUAUUGGGCGUAAAGAGCUCGUAGGCGGCUUGUUGCGUCGGCUGUGAAAACCCGCGGCUUAACUGUGGGCUUGCAGCUGAUACGGGCAGGCUAGAGUUCGGUAGGGGAGACUGGAAUUCCUGGUGUAGCGGUGAAAUGCGCAGAUAUCAGGAGGAACACCGGUGGCGAAGGCGGGUCUCUGGGCCGAUACUGACGCUGAGGAGCGAAAGCGUGGGGAGCGAACAGG